rnacentral:tRNA from 1 species
AUUAGAGGCCUGAUUAAAGGAUUAUCUUGAUAGGGUAAAUAAAGUAAACCAUUACCUCUAUUA